GUAUGUUCCUAUGGUAGUUCUUGGGGCAAAAUUUCACAGUGUGAGUCUCCAAAUGCUGCUUUGUCUGUUCAAGUGGGAACUGCAAGUUAGUCCUGCUUCCUAUCUGCCAUUUUUUCCCGGUCUGUCUACAUUUUUAUACAGUUCAUCUUUUACAUGCUAGUAAAAGUAAUACUGUGCUUUAAAGUUUUUUUUGUUUGUUUGUUUGCUUGCUUGUUUGUUUUUAAAUAGGAAGGAGAAUCUGAUGUUUUUUGUUUGUUUGUUUGAGACAGAGUCUUGCUCUGACACCCAGGCUGGAGAGCAGUGGUACAAUCUUGGCUCACUGCAACCUCUGUCUCCCAGGUUCAAGCAAUUCUCCUGUCUCAGCCUCCCGAGUAGCUGGGAUUACAGUCAUGUGCCCCUGUGUCCAGAAUUGGUUCCUUCUGGUGGGUUCUUGGUCUUGCUGUCUUCAAGAAUGAAGCCGUGGACCCUCGUCAUGAAUGUUACAGUUCUUAAAGAUGGUAUGUCCAGAGUUUAUUCCUUCAGAUGUUCAGAUGUGUCUAGAGUUUCGUCCUUCCAGUGGGUUGGUGGUCUCGCUGACUUCAGGAGUGAAGCCUCAGACCUUCGCAGUCAGUGUUCCAGCUCUUAAAGGUGGCGUGUCCGGAGUUGUUUGUUCCUCCCGGUGGGUUUGUGGUCUCGCUGACUUCAGGAAUGAAGCCGCAGACCCUUGAGGCCUGGUACCAAGGUGCAAAGCUACUUGCAGCAGCAGCGUGCGCCAGCAAGAUAGCAGAAGCAGGAAGAGAGCCAGCCGGAAGACAUGUACCUCUGAAGAUCAAGAAAGAGGCUAUCCAGAAGAGAACAGCAUCAGGGCACAUUGAGGCUCAGAAAUUUAUAUUCCAAGAAGAGGUGCACAGGAACAGAGCAGAUCCAAAGCAGACAACCACCUGGAAGCAGUCAUAACAACAGCAAUAGCAAAUCAAUGCUGAUAAAAGAAAUCAAGUACAGAGAGUUUUAAGGACAUUGUCCAAAGUUGUACAAGGGCACCAUUUUUAAAAGUUGACAACCUCCUGCAGGGAUGUUCUGAAAGACAGAGACAUCUUGUCGGAAUUAUGAAUGUCCUUGGUGGAUGAGGCAGAAAGAGUUGACUGUGUAGGACAUUCCUGACAAGUCCUCAGGAUUUGAAAUGACUCCAACACUAAGCAUUCACCUGGAGAUAACCUACAGAGAUACUCUGUGUUACCCACAACUAGUCUGUUGACUAAGUUGGUGAAUAUAUUUGGGAAAAGCCCAUGUGGAAGAAUGGAAGCCUGCAUUAUCUUUCUCAGAGACAGACAGGAAGGUGACUCUAUGGAAGACAUCAGCGAUAAACUAGGAAGGAGUGACACGAUGGUGCACAAUUUGGAUAUGUAACCCUGCACAUGAGAAAUGCUUUAUAAAUGCCACAUAUCUCUGUUCUGCAGCAGUGACUGCAUGCCAGGACAGCCUUCCACUCCAGAAGGCCCUUGCCAACACAAAUAAAGAAGGGAAAUGACAUCUUACUUGUUGAAGUAAAGAAACUGCAGUGUAAACAAUAACAACAAUCAUGCAAUCAGAGAAGUGAUUAAGCAGGAAGAAUUCAUUCUAAAUGCCUGACCAUGGUGAACUUACAAAAUAUGACUGUUGCCUCUCGCCAGACAAAAAGAAACUUUGAAAUAACUGUCUUCAACAUUUCUGCUUUAAAAGUCCUUUUAUAACCAUCUGUUUUCU
rnacentral:lncRNA from 1 species